AUAACAUCAAAAUAUGAAACCCAUCAGGAUAUUUUUAAUAAAAUGUAUGUAUCUGUAAAGCUAUGAAAACAUUAUUCUUUCAUGGAAACUAUAAGACUUCAAUAAAUGACAAUAUGAACUCUAUUGACAGACCAGGAUGCCUACAGCAAAGUUUGGGAGAAAGCACAAUUGCAGAGGGGAGCACAGAGAGGCAGAAAGGACGGAAUCACCCUGCAGUAAGAAAAAGGAGUCAUGUUUGAGAGACUUGAGCAGAGAAGGGCAUCAAUAAGGCUGCCACGGGAACUGGGCCACUAGACUGACCGCCAUGGCAGAUAAACCAGCCCAACUCCAGGAAUGCAGAGGCAGGGCCUGCACAUGUGUCUGUGUCAAGGGUCUGCACCCAAGAGCAGACAUCCCAGCCGAUAACCUGUGCAAACUGGCUCCCCAAAUUCAGAGACCUGAUAAGGGAAGAAGAACACAGGCUCAGAUCUCUUUCUUCACCCUCCCUAUGCCAGAGAAGCUGCGCUUGAAUGUUUACAAAUCAUGACUGUAGAACAAGGAUUGACAAAUUUCUCUCUCCUCAAAGAAUAAAUAUUUCAAACUUUAUUUACCAU